rnacentral:rRNA from 1 species
UACGUAGGGUGCAAGCGUUGUCCGGAAUUAUUGGGCGUAAAGAGCUCGUAGGCGGUCUGUCACGUCGGCUGUGAAAUCCCGAGGCUCAACCUCGGGUCUGCAGUCGAUACGGGCAAACUAGAGUAUUGCAGGGGAGACUGGAAUUCCUGGUGUAGCGGUGAAAUGCGCAGAUAUCAGGAGGAACACCGGUGGCGAAGGCGGGUCUCUGGGCAAUAACUGACGUGAGGAGCGAAAGCGUGGGGGAGCGAACAGG